rnacentral:misc_RNA from 1 species
GUUUCGUAGGUGAACCUGCGGAAGGAUCAUUAUUGUAUAACCGAGGUGCGAGGGCUGUCGCUGACCCGAAAGGUCGUGCACACCCGAGUGCCCUCACACACAUCCAUCUCACCCCUAUGUGCACCACCGCGUGGGUCCCCCUUUGGCUUGUUCGGAGGGGGGCUUACGUUUUCACACAAACUUUGUAUGCAGUGUAGAAUGUACUUUUUGUUUUUGCGAUCACGCAAUCAAUACAACUUUCAACAACGGAUCUCUUGGCUCUC